CCUCUCUGCCCGCCCCUCCACUCCGCCCGCCCCGCCCCGCCUCGCUUAGCUCCCCGGGCCGGCUUCCUUCGCCCCGCCCCUUCCGCGGCGCCUGGCCCCGCCCCUUGGCAACCCGAGCCGCGUCAUUCCGCAAGGCUCCGUGAGUACGCUCCGGCUCCACGUGACUCCGACUGGGCGCCCUGUCAAAGCUUUCGCACGGAAUGUUCCAUCUCGCCGAGCCGGGGGUGGGGGACGGUGAUCCCGGAUCGCGCCAGCAGUUGGCAGAGGCCGCCUUCUCGCCUCGCUUCCCUUGUUAGGAAGUCCAUGCUGGAGGUGCGUCCUCCAGCAUCCUCCCUGUUUGAUGUGCUCCUAAGGCGGCGAUUCGGCACAAAAGCCGAAUCUCUUGGUUUUAUAGGUACUGCUUUUGCAGGAGUCGCUAAAAAGCCCCUGGGAAACCACGCAGAAUUAAACUUAUUUUUUACAAGACAUCCGAAUGUGAAGUCGGAAAAACAGGCUGUGAAAGACCACUCAGUUAAUAAAUGCUCGGUGUUUGAGACGAGAACUACACAGCAAUAGAAAAGAUCCUGGGAGGCACUGCUGAUGAUUCAAGUAACUGAAAUCCUGCCAUCCAUGAGGGAGACCUGGAUUGAGCUUCAGGUUCCCAGCUUCACCAUUUUAGGCAUUUGGAGAGUGAACCAGUGGAUGAGAGCACUGUUUCUCUGUCUCCGUCAAAUAAGUAAAAAAUUUAAAAAGGGACUGAAAUUGUGGUGCAAUUGUUUAAGCUGCAACUUUCAACAUAGGCAUCCCAUAUCAAAGUGCUGGUUCAAGUCCUGGCACUCCACCUCCAAUAUGGUUUCCUGCUAAUGUGCUUGGGACAGCAACAGAAGAUGGCUGAAGUACUUGGGUAUCUGCCACUCCUGUGAGAGACCAGUGUGGGGUUCUUGGCUUCUAGCUUCAGCCUGGCUCUGCCCUGGCUAUUGUGGCCACUUGGAGAAUGAACUAGCAAGAUGGAAGAUUCUCCCUCUCCUUCCCCCUCCUCCUCUCCCUCUCUUCCUUUCAAAUAAAUAAAUCUUUAAAAAACAUUUUAAAGAAAUAAGAGGCACACUUACCUGGCAGGGGAGAUACGAUGGUCACGAAAGAAAUAAGAGGCAUUUGGGGCUGGCACUGGCAUCCCAUACGGGCGCUGGUUCUAGUCCUAACUGCUCUUCUUCCAAUCUAGCUCUCUGCUGUGGCCUGGGAAAGCAGUAGAAGAUGGCCCAGGCCCUUGGGCCCCUGCACCCACAGAGGAGACUUGGAGGAAGUGCCUGGCUCCUGGCUUCAGAUCAGCGCAGUUCCAGCUGUUGUGGCCAAUGGGGGAAUGAACCAACAGAAAGAAGACCUUUCUCUCUGCCUCUCCCUCUCAUUGUCUGUAACUCUACUUCUCAAAUAAGUAAAUAAAAUCUUUAAAAGAAAUAAAUAAGAUGCAUUCACAUAAAUGCUGGAAAGAAGAAAUUAAAUGGUCCUUAUUAAAAGUAAUCAUAAAGAGCUGGAUGUUGUGGUUAAUUACUUGGCCUGAACACUAACCCUGGCCCCACCACUUCAUAACUGUGGGAACUUAGGCAAGUUAUUUUCUUCUGUCUUAGGGUUCUCAUCUAUAAACUGGGCUAGUGCAUAUAUGGUAAGAUUGUUACAAAGAUUAAUGAAGUUAAGAUGUGGAAAGCACUUCAAACAGUGUCUGCCAUACAGCAAGAACUCAAUGGCUAAAAGCUAUUAAUACUCAAAACCAUAAUACAGAGUCAAAUACAAUCUUUCACUUCAGCAAAGAAAGCAUUUUAGCUCCGAAGAGUCUCUGCUGCUCAAACAUCUGUAUUUCAGAAGAAAAUCUUUGCUUUAUAUUUACAUGGUCACUUUUCCAAAUGAACUAAAAACUGAAAAUAUUCCGCAACUAUCGUGGGUCAUUUACUGGAUUCCAAGCACUGUGCCAGGCCCUGGGAAUGAAACGGUGAACAAGACAGAGCAGCUCUGUCCAGUGGAUUGCUCUGCAGUGAUGGAACUGCUCCGCCUCUGCCUCUCUGUAACUCUGCCUUUCAAACAAAUAAAUAAACCCUUAAAUAAAGAGUUGCUUUCGUUUCAAGUUAAAAGCCUACCAGGAGAAGAUCCGCUGUAAUGUUCUCAUGUGCUUAUCCUGCUAGAGGUGGAAUGAGCCUUGUGGUUAGGAGUGGGGGUCCCCUUGUAGGAAGUAGAUAUUGCAAAUGGCUGUCAUCCUGAGGAGAGGCACAUCUCCAGACAGGAUAUGGGAGCUUGAAAGAAGAGCGCAAGCAGACGGUGACAGAAAUGCUGCCUCUUCCUAGGCCUCACCCAUUUGGACCUGGACACAAAGAUCUUUGUGUGAAGGAAGGAGAAAAAUGACAUC